UGGCCCGUUUUGGCACUAGCACAUUUUUGCUUUGAUUCGUAGCUUUUGAGCAAUUAUGUGUAGUGCCAAUAUGGGAGA
rnacentral:pre_miRNA from 1 species